AUUGAACGCUGGCGGAAUGCUUUACACAUGCAAGUCGAGCGGCAGCACGGGGGCAACCCUGGUGGCGAGCGGCGAACGGGUGAGUAAUACAUCGGAACAUGCCCAGUCGUGGGGGAUAACACUUCGAAAGAAGUGCUAAUACCGCAUACGUCCUGAGGGGGAAAGCGGGGGAUCGCAAGACCUCGCGCGAUUGGAGUGGCCGAUGUCAGAUUAGCUAGUUGGUGGGGUAAAGGCCUACCAAGGCAACGAUCUGUAGCUGGUCUGAGAGGAUGAUCAGCCACACUGGGACUGAGACACGGCCCAGACUCCUACGGGAGGCAGCAGUGGGGAAUUUUGGACAAUGGGGGCAACCCUGAUCCAGCCAUUCCGCGUGAGUGAAGAAGGCCUUCGGGUUGUAAAGCUCUUUCGGCAGGAACGAAACGGUGAGCUCUAACAUAGCCUGCUAAUGACGGUACCUGAAGAAGAAGCACCGGCUAACUACGUG
rnacentral:rRNA from 1 species